CCUUUAAAGAGUGCGUAACAGCUCACUAGUCGAGUGACCCUGCGCCGAAAAUGUACCGGGGCUAAGCCUGAUACCGAAACUGCGGAUUGUAGGAAACUAUAGUGGUAGGGGAGCGUUGUAUACGAGUGGAAGCCGUACCGUGAGGAGCGGUGGAUUGUAUAGAAGUGAGAAUGCCGGUGUGAGUAGCGAGAUGUAGGUGAGAAUCCUACACACCGAAAGCCCAAGGAUUCCAGGGGAAGGUUCGUCCGCCCUGGGUAAGUCGGGACCUAACGCGAGGCCGAAAGGCGUAGUGGAUGGAAAGCAGGCGAAAGAUUCCUGCACCCGUAUAUGGAGCGAAGGAGUGACGGAGACGGAUAGUGUGACCCUCUUAAUGGAUUGAGGGCGAAGCGAAGCGGCUGGUUACCAGGCAAAUCCGGUAACCAAAAGGCUAGAGCGUGACAGGUAAGCGAAAUCUAAGGAAAGUAGCGAAGCACAUGAUGACGGCUUCCAGGAAAAGCUUCUGGCAAUGCAUAUGCGGCCCGUACCAAAACCGACACAGGUGGGCAGGGAGAGAAUCCCGAGGUGAGCGAGAGAACUGUUGCCAAGGAACUCGGCAAAAUGACUCCGUAAGUUAGCGAGAAGGAGUGCUUAAGCAAUUAAGCCGCAGUGAAGAGGCCCAAGCGACUGUUUAACUAAAACACAGCUCUCUGCGAAGUCGCAAGACGAAGUAUAGGGGGUGACACCUGCCCGGUGCUGGAAGGUUAAGAGGAUCUGUUAAGAGCGAUCUGAAGCAGUGAUCCGAAGCCCCAGUGAACGGCGGCCGUAACUAUAACGGUCCUAAGGUAGCGAAAUUCCUUGUCAGGUAAGUUCUGACCCGCACGAAAGGUGUAACGAUUUGGGCGCUGUCUCGGCAGCAGACUCGGUGAAGUCUUAGUACCUGUGAAGAUGCAGGUUACCCGCGACUAGACGGAAAGACCCCAUGGAGCUUUACUGCAGCCUGAUAUUGAAUUCUGGUCAUACAUGUACAGGAUAGGUGGGAGACAAAGAGACGUGCACGCCAGUGUACGAGGAGUCGACGUUGGGAUACCACUCUUGUGUGACCGGGGUUCUAACCUGGUAUCGAGAACAGGUACGGGGAGAGUGUCAGGUGGGCAGUUUGACUGGGGCGGUCGCCUCCCAAAGAGUAACGGAGGCGCCCAAAGGUACGCUCAGAUUGGAUGGAAACCAAUCGACGAGUGCAAUUGCAGAAGCGUGCUUGACUGUGAGACUUACAAGUCGAACAGGGACGAAAGUCGGGAAUAGUGAUCCGGCGGUGCCGAAUGGAAGGGCCGUCGCUCAACGGAUAAAA
rnacentral:rRNA from 1 species